GACGAACGCUGGCGGCGUGCCUAACACAUGCAAGUCGAACGGUGAGGCCCCGUUGGUGGUACUCUAGGAGCGAAUGGGUAAGUAACAGGUGAGUAACCUGCACCUGACUUCGGGAUAACGUCAACUAACUGAGACGAAUACCAGUAAGGAAUACUUGCGGCAGGGAGGUGGUUGGUAAGCUUGAGCGGCAUUGGAUAGACUAGGAGCUUAUCAGCCGGUUGGUGGGGUAGUGGCUUACCAAGGCUUUGACGGGUAGCCGGCCUGAGAGGGCGACCGGCCACAUUGGGACUGCGAGACGGACCAGACUCCUACGGGAGGCAGCAGUGGCGAACAUUGCACAAUGGGCGGAAGCCUGAUGCAGCAGCGCCGCGUGCGUGAUGACGGCCUUCGGGUUGUAAACCGCUUUCAGCAGGGGCGAAGCUUGUGGUGACGGUACCUGCAGAAGAAGCACCGGCUAACUACGUG
rnacentral:rRNA from 1 species